AUACGGAGGGGGUUAGCGUUGUUCGGAAUUACUGGGCGUAAAGCGCACGUAGGCGGACUGGAAAGUUGGGGGUGAAAUCCCGGGGCUCAACCCCGGAACUGCCUCCAAAACUUCCAAUCUAGAGAUAGAGAGAGGUGAGUGGAAUUCCAAGUGUAGAGGUGAAAUUCGUAGAUAUUUGGAGGAACACCAGUGGCGAAGGCGGCUCACUGGCUCGAUACUGACGCUGAGGUGCGAAAGCGUGGGGAGCAAACAGGAUUAGAAACCCUAGUAGUCC
rnacentral:rRNA from 1 species